rnacentral:rRNA from 1 species
GACAGAGGGUGCAAACGUUGUUCGGAUUUACUGGGCGUAAAGCGCGUGUAGGCGGCUUGGCAAGUCGGAUGUGAAAGCCCACGGCUCAACCGUGGAAGCGCAUCCGAAACUGCUUCGCUCGAGUCUCGGAGAGGAAGGUGGAAUGCUUGGUGUAGAGGUGAAAUUCGUAGAUAUCAAGCAGAACACCUGCGGCGAAGGCGG